rnacentral:lncRNA from 1 species
UGUAGAAUCAAAAUAAGAAUGUAGAGGAUAUGAGUUCACGUGCUUUUACUCCACAGGUUUUUGUAUUGUAUAUUAUUUUUUCAAUAUAAAUUCAGAUUAUAUCAUACUAGUUUUAAAAAUAGACUUUAUUUUAAUGCGAAUUUGUAGUCUCAACAAGGAAGUGGUAUGGAGGGAGGUAUUGCACCAGUGGAAAAUGGAAAGUGUCAACUAUUGCACUGGUACUUGGUUGAGGAGGAAAUUGUAGGCGAAGGGAAGAUUGCAUCAAUAGACCCAAGUACAAAUGUGCAUCACGUGCCACUAGGACGAGAUUGUUGGAAGGUUUGGGUUGACGAGGUGUACAUGAGUCAUUUGCCCUUAUAUAGACCAACGGAAGAAUUUCGAGUUCUUAGUGACGCCAUAGGAAGUACUAUUGCUUGGCCAAAGAGCUGCAUUAGACUUAUUUGACUAAGGUACUUUAUAAAUUUCUACAUUUUUUUUCAUUUACGUAUUUGUCAUUAAACAUGUUUCAAGAGUGGCUAUAUAUGUGUGCAUACACAAGUUUACAACCUUGAAUGUGGAAGUUUGUUCAUGGCAUUACUAAUGAGUGCACAAUGGCUUCUCUUAAAAAAGAAAUUGAUCUUAUUUUUAAAAAUCAAUCAAGUUUUAAUUAUGAGCUUGUAUUCUUAAGUGUGUGAUUCAAUUUUUUCUUUAAAUGACAUAAAUCUGCUGCUAUAUACGUUGAAUGAGUAUAGACUGGUUAUGUAAAAAGAAUGAAUAUAGUUGUGUCUUAAAAAGCUUUAAAUGACAUUGUAUUGUUUCUAAAUUGCUUGGUCUUUUUGAUUAAUUUGUUGUUAUAUUCUUUCUGUCUUGCAGUUACAUGGAGCUGAAGUGAGUUCGAAAAUUUCUUUUGAGCUUGUAUCGUCUUGGAUCUCGUCUAUGUAAAAAUAUUUGGCUGGGACUCGUUAGAAGCUUCGGUUAUGAAUCAUUUACAUAACUUUUAGACAUUUUUCAUAGUUCUUUGGUUAGAUGGUGUAUAUUUUUGAAUUGAAGUAUUUAUUAUGUUUUGAUGAAGUAAUAUUGCAUAUCGG